AGGGUGACCUGAAGUCCUGGUUUGCCUGGGACUGAGGGGCUUCUCGGGACGCAGGACAUUCAGUGGCAAGCAUAAUGAGUUGGUCACUUUAG
rnacentral:miRNA from 10 species